rnacentral:sRNA from 1 species
GUUGUUGAUGAAGAUUUGCAAGUAUUAAGAGUUAGUUUCUUAUGGUUAUAUUACCUAAAUAGCAAAAUGGAGAAAAGUUUAGAGGACUGAUUUAUCACAGAUCAUAUAAAGAUAAUUGGUGAUUUUUCUUGGACAGUUAUAAAGAAUAAGCUUCUGGUGUUUUAACAGAUGGGAAAUAAGGCCAAGAUUGCAAAAUGUCCUUUAAGAACAAAAACUGGGCACAUUCUAAAAUCAACACAGGAUACUUGUAUUGGGAGUGAAAAACUUUUGCAAAAGAAGCCAGUUGGUUCAGAAACAUCACAGGCAAAAGGUGAAAAAAAUGGAAUGACUUUUUCAUCCACUAAGGAUUUAUGUAAACAAUGUAUAGAUAAAGACUGUCUUCAUAUCCAGAAAGAGAUUUCACCUGCAACCCCUAAUAUGCAGAAGACUAGAAACACCAUAAAUACAUCUCUAGUAGGUAAACAGAAGCCUCACAAAAAACACAUCACAGCUGAAAACAUGAAGAGCAGUUUGGUGUGUCUAACACAAGACCAACUACAACAGAUUUUGAUGACUGUAAACCAAGGAAAUAGAUCUCUUUCCCUGACUGAGAAUGGAAAGGAGGCAAAAACUGGGCAUAGAGACAAUUCAUGAAAAGGUUUUCCACUGAUUUCA